AGACUCUUCCUUCAGUUCUCAGUCACUGAACCCUCGCCGGAGCAUCAAAAUGGUAACGUCUGCAAUUGCUGGAACGUCAAUUGUACCAGUCUCUUCCCGGCACCAAACGUCUUUUUCGUCUCUGCUUUCCUCUAGAAGCUUAAGGAAAAAUGUAGUUUCUGUUCUUCGAAGUCCAUAUUCUGAUUCAUCAGAUAUUGGAUUUUCAAGCAAGAAGUUGGGGAUCCCAUUAAAGUUCAAUGAGUACGAAUCCGGUGCUCAUACCAAUUCAAGCUAUGGUGUUAUCGUAGCAAAAGAGGGGGCUAAUCCGCCCAUCAUGCCCGCCGUGAUGACACCAGUGGGCGCGUUGGAUCUUUCUACCGUGUUAUUCAGGAAUCGAAUUAUCUUCAUUGGACAACCAGUCAACUCUGCAGUUGCUCAGAAAGUAAUAUCACAACUUGUGACCCUUGCAACUAUAGAUGAAAACGCAGAUAUUUUGAUCUAUCUUAACUGUCCUGGUGGAAGCACAUACUCUGUCUUGGCAAUAUAUGACUGCAUGUCAUGGAUAAAGCCUAAGGUUGGUACAGUAUGUUUUGGAGCUGCUGCAAGCCAAGGAGCACUUCUUCUUGCUGGUGGAGAAAAGGGCAUGAGGUAUGCAAUGCCAAAUGCACGUAUAAUGAUUCAUCAACCUCAAAGUGGAUGUGGAGGGCACGUGGAGGAUGUGCGGCGCCAAGUAAAUGAAGCGGUUCAAUCUCGCCAGAAAGUCGACAAAAUGUAUGCUGCUUUUACUGGCCAAUCAAUUGAGAUGAUACAAACAUACACUGAAAGGGAUCGUUUUAUGUCUUCCGCUGAGGCCAUGGAGUUUGGUCUCAUUGACGGGGUGCUAGAAACAGAGUACUAGUUGCAAAUGGAAAUGAUAGCUUGCUUUCAAGAGAUGAAAAAACUGCUGUUGAUCAUUAACUACUUGGAAACACAAGAAACUGGUUCUUGCAAAUUCGUGUCGUAGUUCCUCACAUACAUCCGAUCGAUGAACGUUCAAGAUCUCCGAAAGCAUAAUAUUGAAGGCAAUAUUGUAUUUACUAAUUAGUCUCUCCUGCAGAUUCACUCUAGCACUUUUACCUGUAUUGAUCAAAGUCGGUUAUUUAUAUGACUAAAUUGCAAUUCAGAGGUUGUGGUGUACUUUUGCCAAAUAUAUACAAGUACUUUU
rnacentral:misc_RNA from 1 species